UGGGGAAUAUUGGACAAUGGGCGAAAGCCUGAUCCAGUAAUGCCGCGUGAGUGAUGAAGGCCUUAGGGUUGUAAAGCUCUUUUACCCGGGAUGAUAAUGACAGUACCGGGAGAAUAAGCCCCGGCUAACUCCGUGCCAGCAGCCGCGGUAAUACGGAGGGGGCUAGCGUUGUUCGGAAUUACUGGGCGUAAAGCGCACGUAGGCGGCUUUGUAAGUUAGAGGUGAAAGCCCGGGGCUCAACUCCGGAACUGCCUUUAAGACUGCAUCGCUAGAACGUCGGAGAGGUGAGUGGAAUUCCGAGUGUAGAGGUGAAAUUCGUAGAUAUUCGGAAGAACACCAGUGGCGAAGGCGACUCACUGGACGACUGUUGACGCUGAGGUGCGAAAGCGUGGGGAGCAAACAGG
rnacentral:rRNA from 1 species